AUGGUGCCUAAUAUUCAAAACCAGCAUGUUUCAUUCCGGGGACAACAACAUUUCAGAACUGAAUUAGAUCCUCCAUAUAGAAAGAUUGAUCUUACUUCAAUUAUCCUUGAUGAUGAUUAUGAUAUUUUUCAAGAUGAUGAAACUACUAUAGAUCAGAUGGAAACCAGAGUAGCAGAUCCAAUACCUCAUGGCAAUGAAACUGUCCAGAAUGAGUCAAAGUUGCAAGAAGAUGUUUAUGAGGAACCUACUCUGAUUGAUGCUAAGUUGAGACAACAAGAUAUGGAGAAAUUCACUUGUGUUAGUCAACUAUGUGACUGGUGGAAUUUAGUCGUGUCACCAAUUGCCCACACUUGUGUUACAACGGUAUCUUGGCAAUUUGUCAAGAAGAAAUCAGUAGCUCCACCGGUGGUUGCCUCUAUCACAGUUAAAGAGAGUAUCUUAGAGAAGAAUAGUGAAGAUGAGAUUCCAACUCCUGCACAUACAACUAAGCAAGUCGGAGACAUUCCAAGGAGAGAGAUACAAGAGGCUGAGUCAAAUUUAGAAGAGUUGAUACUUCAAUAUCCUAAGAAGAUCCCACGUGUUGCUGAGCUGCAUGACUGGUGGAAGUCAUCAGUGUCACUAUUGAAACUUAGCAGUGAUGGUGAUGAGGAGAACAUUGCUCAAAAAGACAGCAAGGUAGUGAUCUCAGCACCCCUACCAGAUCAUGUUAGUGAAUAUUCACAGAUGGGGACACUUCAGACUCAAUUAAGUGUUGCUGGUAGUAGCACCAUGGUAGAUCCAGAGGAAGAGAGUCCUCAACUUGAAGAAGAUUUACAAGAAGGCAAGGAACAAGAUGAUCAAGAGCUGCAAUUUCCAAGUGAUCAAGUUGAAGACUCAUCAUCUACUACUCCUGAAGAAGUACAAGAAGCUGAUGUAGAUGAAGAUGAAGAACCCAAGAUUCAUUGGCCUAUUGUCAUACAUGAGCGUGAUGUGUCAGGUUUACCCAAUCCUCUUGAUGACAUGCUCCCUUGUGAUUUCUUUGCUUCUAACUUGCAUUGCAUGAUGCCAUCACUUAAGGUAGAUUUGAAAAACUAUUUGCUUGGACAUGAUCAUACACACCCUGUUAGUGGCAUUACUCUCAUUUGUGAUGAUCACAGUUACUUUCCUCGUGCUAGUUCUAUGCUUAAUGAAACAUAUCAUUCCCAUGCUAGUCUUGAGCUUAAUGAUAAAUAUCAUCCUCAUGUUAGCAUUGAGCUUACUGAUUUGUACCAUCCUAAACAUGUGCUUUAUAGCUAUGCUUAUGUAAUUGGUUAUUCGAUUGAUGACUUGGAGGGUAUUAUCCCUACCACUUGCAUUGUCUCUUUCGUUAAGUGCUCUUUCAGGUUCUUGCUUGUGCACGGUCCAUUACAUGUUGACCAGGUUCGAGGUGACAUUCCUUGGGACCCUGGUGGACUCAGAGCAUGGGGAUGA
rnacentral:rRNA from 1 species